UCACUUUAUAUAUAUUUCAAAAAACGAACGAUCAGCCUUGGCACAGUUCAGAUGUGGAAUGCUUCCCUUACGCAUUGAAACCGGUCGAUAUAAAAAUGAAUCCUAAAGUGAAAGAACGUGUGUUUUUUGUUCUAGUUCUGUUGUUGAAGACGAAAAACAUUUCUUAUUAGACUGUCAAUUGUAUAAUAAUGCUAGGAAAAAAUAUUUUGAUAGCGUGUACAAGGAGCACCCAAAUAGUAAUAAUAAUGAUUAUUUGUUCAAAAUUCUAAAUCAAAAUUACCAAAUAAAGUUAGCCAAAUUUGUACAUACAGCAUUUAACCAUCGAAAGAAUCUUCUGCAUGUGUAAAUUUAUAAUAAAUGUUAUUAAUGGAAAAAGUGACUUAUAGGUCCAAUGGGCCGGUGCAGAUUCAGUUUGACGUAUUUUGUUUACACUGUAUAUUGAAAUGUCUAUAAUGCACAAUGUCACUAUAAUAAAUGAUUACUUACUUACUUACUUACUUAGAUAUUAUAUUUUACUACAUAAAGAGCUUGACAUGCACUAAGGCUGAAAAUUUAACUGUAAUGCAGCUGUGUGUAAAAACUGCACUUUAUACCAAAGUUAAAGACAUGUCACCAUAAAAGAGUUUGCUGAGAAAGGUUCCCUGUAUGACUACCUACAGACUCCUGACAAUGUUCUGUGCUUCCAGAGAAGAUGAUGGCAAUGUUCAGAUGUUAACGGAUGAUGACGGACAAAGAUUGGGAGGUCAUCUGACAGACUCAGGCGACAUAACAAAUGGCUGCUGUUUUUAUCACCUUCAUUUACAGACAUAUUAUUUCAUCAUUAUUUGCAAAACACAAGUAAAUAUCUCAAACAAAAAUCCUCAAAAAUAUCGUUUA